UAGUCCGCUCUCCGUCUGUCGUAAUGCUGCGCCGCACACUGUACGUUCUCGCCCGCCCUCGCGAAUUGGCCGCUGCGUCGCGGGACAAGGCGCACUUCGAUGUGUGUGUCAUCGGCGGUGGCCCUGCCGGCAUUGCGGCGGCACUGCGGGCCGCCGAUUACAACAAGCGCGUCUGCAUCGUGGAGAAGGCGCGGCUUGGAGGCAACGACUUGUGGGAUGGCGCGUUGCAGUCGAAGACCAUGUGGGAGUGCUCGUCUAUCAUGGCCAAGAUGCGCGGCGAUGCAGCCAUGCGCCUCUACGGCGAGAGCCUAGAUCGCUACCUCGAGAUCGACGAGGUCAAGAUGCGGCAGUCAAUGGAACGAGUGAGUCGCAUCCGCGAGGAGCAUAUCCAGGUCGCACUCAAAGCCUCGCCGAACGUAGAACUCGUGUUUGGCAGAGCGACCUUUAACAGCAACCAUGAGAUCCAGUGCCAUAACAAGCGGACGAAGGAGUUCCGCAGCAUCACGGCGGACUAUUUCAUCGUCGCCACCGGGUCGAAGCCACGGAAGCACCCUUACGUGGCAGCAGACGGGCGGCUGGUGAUGACCUCUGACCACAUCAUGCGAGCCCCACUGCCGAAAAGCUUGGUGAUCGUGGGCGCUGGCGUGAUCGGCUGCGAGUUUGCCAGUAUUAUCGGCCGCCUCGGCAAAACGAAAGUCUCCAUCAUCGACAAGGCGCCGCACAUCCUGCCACGGGAGGACCCCGACAUUGUUCGCGUGAUCGAGAGUGGAAUGGACCGCGCCGGCAUCGUGGUCCACCACAACUCCGACCUCUAUGAUAUGCAGCCGUGGGAGGAGACGGAGGAGGAGGCGAAGGCGCGGCACCCGGCCGACCCCGCGCCGCAGUCUGGCGUGCAGUACACUUUGAUGGAUCGCACGACGCGGAAGCUGACAACAUUCCAGGUGGAGCGCGCCCUCAUCUCGAUCGGCCGCGUGCCGGACUACUCCCGCCUCGGUAUCGAGAAUACCACUCUCAAGACACGUGGCAGCCAGCUGCACGUGAACGAGUUUGGCCAGUGCGUUGGCACGCCACACAUCUUCGCCGUUGGCGACGCCGCUACGCACAUGCAGCUCGUCAGCAUGGGCGAGGCCCAGGCGAAGCUCGCCGUGGACUACAUCUACGGCACGGAGCCAAAGGUGGUGCCGAACUUGACGGAGACCAUGUCCAGCGUUGCCUUCCUGACCCGUGCCGUCGCCUCUGUCGGGUACAACGAGUCGCAAUGCCGGGAGAAGGGCAUUGCCUACAUUGCUGCGCGGUACAGCUACGAGGUCGUCAGCCGUGCCGUGGCUGCUGCCAACACGAAGGGCUUCGUGAAAAUCAUCUGUGCCGACGACCCGGAGCGGCGCAUACUCGGCGUGCGGGCAUUGGGCAUGAACGCGAGCACACUCGUGGAUAUUGGUGCACUGGCCAUUCAAAAUGGCCAGAGCGUGUUCGACCUUGCGGGGCGCCUGACCGCGUAUCCAGCCGUCUCGCAGGCCUUCCAAGAGUGUCUGCGGUCCAUCCUAGACCUCCCAGCCCAGCUACAUGCCGAUCCGGCGCGUGGUGUCAAGCUGACGAAGUGGGCGCCACCUGACAUGAGCAGGGGGGUGGCUUACAAGGGAAAGGCGGCGGCUUCCGGCUAGAGCAGUCCCAGGCAAAGAGGCUGGGCGAGUCGCCAGCGCAGCGCUGCCGGGCAUCACCCGCUUUGGCGGAGGCUACCAGCGGUGCGACGCGCCACACCGACAGCGGUGCUCCUUCCGGGAACCACAACCCCGGCGCCUUCUUAGGUCAGUGAAGAGGCUGCCUUGAGAGCCAGUGGAGCGGGGACUAGCCGCCGUAAGGUAUGCGUGUUGCUGGUGAGAGGUAAAUGCACGCGCAAGGGCUGUACAUGCCUUGACACGUCUCUUGCGGUCCUCCCCUCCUCAUCAAGCCUUUCUAUACGGCAGGUCGGAUUGCAUGCGCGUCUACGCUGCUGCAGAGCCACCCGCCGUGCCUCAGCUCGGCUUUUGUUGUUGUUUUGCAAUCGAAAGUUCUCGCUUCUGCAUGUGUGCCCUUGGGGUGAGGAGGCGCCUGCUCUUUGUGCGUGUGUAUAUUGCGCGGUGUAUGCCCGCCCUCUACCCCCUCUUCGCUG
rnacentral:misc_RNA from 1 species